rnacentral:rRNA from 2 species
AUACAUGAGCAAAAUCUCAACUUUAUUAGAAGAGACGCAUUUAUUAGAUAAAAAGCCAGUUCAUGCUUUUACAGUAUGAAAAUUGGUGAUUUAUAAUAACUUAGCAAAUCGCAAAGUGAAAACAGGCGAUAAAUCAUUCAAGUUUCUGACCUAUCAGCUUUCGACGGUAUGGUAUUGGCUUACCGUGGCAGUGACGGUUAACGGGGGAUUAGGGUUCGAUUCCGGAGAGGGAGCCUGAGAAACGGCUACCACAUCUAAGGAAGGCAGCAGGCGCGCAAAUUACCCAAUUCUAACAGUUUGAGAGAGGUAGUAACAAGAAAUAACAAUACAAGGCAGUUAAAAUGCUUUGUAAUUGGAAUGAUAGAAAUUUAAACCCUUUUUAAAGUAUCAAUUGGAGGGCAAGUCUGGUGCCAGCAGCCGCGGUAAUUCCAGCUCCAAUAGCGUAUAUUAAAAUUGUUGCAGUUAAAAAGCUCGUAGUUGAAGUUCUGCUGAAAGUAACCGGUCUGCUUUUAAUAAAAGUGGUAUCUUGGUAUGUAUUUAGCAAUGAUGUCCUUUGAAGUGUUUUUUACUUUAUUGUAAUAAAGCAUAUUCAGGACUUUUACUUUGAGAAAAUUAGAGUGUUUCUAGCAGGCUGACGCUUUGAAUACUGCAGCAUGGAAUAAUAAG